rnacentral:rRNA from 1 species
UGGGGAAUAUUGCACAAUGGGCGCAAGCCUGAUGCAGCAACGCCGCGUGAGGGACGACGGCCUUCGGGUUGUAAACCUCUUUUGGCAGGGAAGAAGCGAAAGUGACGGUACCUGCAGAAAAAGCACCGGCUAACUACGUGCCAGCAGCCGCGGUGAUACGUAGGGUGCAAGCGUUGUCCGGAAUUAUUGGGCGUAAAGAGCUCGUAGGCGGUUUGUCGCGUCUGCUGUGAAAACCCGAGGCUCAACCUCGGGCCUGCUGUGGGUACGGGCAAACUAGAGUGCGGUAGGGGAGAUUGGAAUUCCUGGUGCAGCGGUGGAAUGCGCAGAUAUCAGGAGGAACACCGAUGGCGAAGGCAGAUCUCUGGGCCGUAACUGACGCUGAGGAGCGAAAGCAUGGGGAGCGAACA